rnacentral:lncRNA from 1 species
ACUGAUGGGCUCCCUGUAAUUUGAUUCCAUCUGUAUUGGUCCAACACCCAUCAUGCCAUUCUGCUUGUUGCGAUUGUCUCUUUCUCUAAACUUGCCUUUCCGACCUACUUGGACAACUGAUAGUUCUUUCCACAGAUCAUAGCUAUUAAUCAUUUGAGAAGCCACGUAACCACUCAUCCACUUUAGCCUACGCUUAGUGUUCUUGCUUCGUAAGAAGGUUGGAAAAUGUGGCUCAUACUUGUGAUUUAUUAUAUCUUUUCUCAUCUUAUUGAUCCAGAAUAACUUUUCAG